rnacentral:rRNA from 1 species
AACGAACGCUGGCGGCAUGCCUAACACAUGCAAGUCGAACGAGACCUUCGGGUCUAGUGGCGCACGGGUGCGUAACGCGUGGGAACCUGCCCUUAGGGUCGGAAUAACUCCCCGAAAGGGGUGCUAAUACCGGAUAAUGUCUUCGGCCCAAAGAUUUAUCGCCUUUGGAUGGGCCCGCGUUGGAUUAGCUAGUUGGUAGGGUAAAAGCCUACCACGGGGACGAUCCAUAGCUGGUCUGAGAGGAUGAUCAGCCACACUGGGACUGAGACACGGCCCAGACUCCUACGGGAGGCAGCAGUGGGGAAUAUUGGAAAAUGGGCGAAAGCCUGAUCCAGCAAGGCCGCGUGAGUGAUGAAGGCCUUAGGGUUGUAAAGCUCUUUUAACCGGGAUGAUAAUGACAGUACCGGGAGAAUAAGCUCCGGCUAACUCCGUG